rnacentral:rRNA from 1 species
UACGGGGGGUGCGAGCGUUGUCCGGAAUCACUGGGCGUAAAGGGCGCGUAGGCGGUUUGAUAAGGGUGUGGUGAAAGUCCGGGGCUCAACCCCGGAUCUGCCGUGCCGACUGUCAAACUCGAGGACUGUAGAGGCAGACGGAAUUCCGGGUGUAGCGGUGGAAUGCGUAGAGAUCCGGAGGAAGACCGGUGGCGAAGGCGGGUUGCUGGGCUGAUACUGACGCUGAUGCGCGAAAGCCAGGGGAGCGAACGGG